AACCUAUGGUGAUGACACCUUCUCAAUAAGUCUUUGCAUCUCUCCCAUGCAUCAUAUGAAGUCUUUAAAUUGAUUUGAACAAAGGAAGAGAUAUCAUUCCUCAACUU
rfam:Gossypium hirsutum cultivar TM-1 unplaced genomic scaffold scaffold2373.1, whole genome shotgun sequence